CAUCAACGAAUGAAUAUAAUCUGAGAACAAAUUAAGAUGCACACCUGAAAAAGAAAAAAAAACAAAGAAGCAAAUUUUACCGUUUAAACACAGGGAUCCGUUAUGCCAAUAGACGUUGUCUGAAUAGCCGUACCAAUGCAAAUUGAAAGAAGCAUCAACGAAUGAAUAUCAUCUGAGUGGGAUUUUGUUGAAGACGACAUUUUAAAGUUAUAAAUGCUAAACCAGGUCCUCGUUUUAAGUCACACAGAGAUUUGGUAGAGAGGGUGGGCGAGGAUGAAGCAAAUAAAGGCGGCAUGGCGGAGAUUAUCAUACGAGGAUCUUCAAGCACUUGAAAAUCAAGAGCAAGUGAAGAUGGUUGAGUUUUUCAAGAAGAGCCAUGCACUGCAGAAUGCUGUGUGGCAGAUAUUUUGUUAAAGGGCUUUCCUUUUUAGUUUUGCUGGCUUCUUCAUCUAUUCAACUCAUCAUCAAUCUGUAUCUCCCUGGAAUAUCGUGAGUAAUAAUCUAUUUUUCUUUCUAGUUUGAAAGAGGGGAAAGGUAAUGUUUUGAGCACACUUGUCAUUCAUAAAGUUCUAUUGAUACAUCAAACUUGUAUAAUCAUGAUUAUUAUGAUAAUUUUUUUUGGAAAUGAACAUAUUUUAUGCAUAUGCCAUUGGGAAACAUUUCUGUAAAGUACAUUUUGAUUCCAACUCUUCGUUACACGCCUUAAUAUUUCCAAAGGUGUGCUUAAUGGUAUUGCACUAGGAUUUAAACUUUGUUUUUUCCUUUCCUAAAAGUAGAUCUAGUGGGGCUAGUCCUUGGUUAAAAUGAUAGCAUCCUCCCUCUCUCAACUCCUUGGUAUUGCACUAGGAUUUAAACUUUGUUUUUUCCUUUCCUAAAAGUAGAUCUAGUGGGGCUAGUCCUUGGUUAAAAUGAUAGCAUCCUCCCUCUCUCAACUCCUAACAAUUUUGGCAAUAUUGGUGCAAUGAUUUGUGUGCCUCUUGAACUUCUGGCUGUUACUCAUGUGAUAUCCAUAAUUUACAUAUUGUUUAGUACACUAAUGUUUACUACUAUGGCACAUCCCUAUGAUGGGACUUUGUUUCCUAUUUCUGCUUUCUUCCUUCACCUUCUAUAGAUUCAUAUAACAUCUGCUCUUCUAGAUUUUUUUCUUAAACUAAAAUAGGGGAAGAAUCUUCUUUCAUUGCCAUGAGUGCAAUGAUCUGUCAAAAUAUUUUGGCUGCUGCUUCUAUCCUCCUACUAGGAUUUUUAACCCCUAUUUCAUUGAAUGUUUUUAGCAUCUUUUGGCCCAAGAUAUUAAUAAUUUGAUAUUACAGUAUUUUCUAUGUUUCCAUAAUCUGUAUUUUUUGAGGAAUCGGCCCUUGAGACUUUCAGUGGUUGAUAAAGGGGAGAGUUUUUGGCUUCCCUCCACAUAUGACAAGGAGUUGCAUGCCAUUGUUCAAGUCUAUAUACAAUGUAGAUGCUAUAUUUUGUAGAGAGGACUAUCAUUACAUAGACCAUGAGCCUCUCCAAUUCAUAUAGACACAAAGAAAGUUGUAGAAUGAUCAGCAUUAAAGGUGGACCGGACCACCUACUUCUAGGAUUUUCAUCUCAACAUUUAUCCCAAGAAGGGGAUCAUUAACACAAUUGCAAAUUUCAUUAACACAAUUGUAAAUUAUUUGAGUCAACCCCCAAUCACUACUCUAAUAACAGUGUUAGACUCUCAUGGGACAUUGUUUUUGAUUCGCUAACAUCUAUCAAAGACUAAUAGACGAUAGAUUGGUAACAACUUGCAAGAUAAAAUCCUUUGUGAUAUGGGGCACAUUUGUCUUCAUACCGAGGAGCAAAAAACAUGAUUUGGGAAGCAUAUAGUACACUGCAUUGCAAGACACUUUGGGAGAGAGAAGACAAUUGCUAUACUAUAAAAGUAUUUCUACUAGCUAAAAUUGCAUCAUGAUGUCAUCUUGUAUGUUCAAUAUUGCACAUAUUGUGUUGUUGCAAAGCCCUCAAAUAAAAACUAGGAUUGUAUGCACAUCUCCUAGUUCUUGACAAGCCUUUUCUUAUGACCAAGCAGGGCCAUGAUUGUGUGUAUGUGG